UUGUUCGCAAUGGGCGCAAGCCUGACGACGCAACGCCGCGUGGAGGAUGAAGACCUUCGGGUCGUAAACUCCUUUCGACCGAGAUGAACGUCCCGCGACCUAACACGUCGUGGGAGUGACAGUAUCGAGGGAAGAAGCCCCGGCUAACUCUGUGCCAGCAGCCGCGGUAAUACAGGGGGGGCUAGCGUUGUUCGGAAUUACUGGGCGUAAAGGGUUCGUAGGUGGCCGGCUAAGUCAGACGUGAAAUCCCUCAGCUUAACUGGGGAACUGCGUCUGAUACUGGUCGGCUUGAGUGCGGGAGAGGAACGCGGAAUUCCAGGUGUAGCGGUGAAAUGCGUAGAUAUCUGGAGGAACACCGGUGGCGAAGGCGGCGUUCUGGACUGCAACUGACACUGAGGAACGAAAGCCAGGGGAGCAAACGGG
rnacentral:rRNA from 1 species